rnacentral:rRNA from 1 species
AUGCAGCAUAUUAGACAGUUCUUCUCUCUCUGGAUGCUCCUGGACGAGGUCCAUCUUAACGAGCUCACCGAAGACAACAUCCUUUGGAAGGACACAACCUCUGGCCAUUACACGGCGUCCUCCGCGUACAAGGCACAAUUUCUAGGCUUGGUUCACUCCCCCAUGGAUCAAAUGAUUUGAAAGGCUUGGGCACCAUCGAGGGUGAAGUUUUUUGCUUGGCUUGCAAUUCAGGAUAGACUCUGGACGGCCGAUCGGUUGGCUAAGCGUGGAUAG